GACUUCAUCACCUCUGGCAGACACUGGCACCCCCCACCAUGCACCAUCUGCCCAAGAUGAAGGAGAAGCAUCGGCUUCUCCCUUGUGUUGGGACCCUCAGCACCAGACCAGAGGUGACACACCGCCCUCCUCCAGUCCCAGGGACAUGCCCAAGGCUGACCCAGGCACGGCCACACCCCCACAGGCCACAGCGCGAUGGAAACGGUUCUCCCUCUUCAGAAGGGUGUCCAGGG